UGGGGAAUCUUCCGCAAUGGACGAAAGUCUGACGGAGCAACGCCGCGUGAGUGAUGACGGCCUUCGGGUUGUAAAGCUCUGUUAAUCGGGACGAAUGGUUCUUGUGCGAAUAGUGCAAGGAUUUGACGGUACCGGAAUAGAAAGCCACGGCUAACUACGUGCCAGCAGCCGCGGUAAUACGUAGGUGGCAAGCGUUGUCCGGAAUUAUUGGGCGUAAAGCGCGCGCAGGCGGAUUGGUCAGUCUGUCUUAAAAGUUCGGGGCUUAACCCCGUGAUGGGAUGGAAACUGCCAAUCUAGAGUAUCGGAGAGGAAAGUGGAAUUCCUAGUGUAGCGGUGAAAUGCGUUGAUAUUAGGAAGAACACCAGUGGCGAAGGCGACUUUCUGGACGAAAACUGACGCUGAGGCGCGAAAGCCAGGGGAGCGAACGGG
rnacentral:rRNA from 1 species